rnacentral:rRNA from 1 species
AGAGUUUGAUCCUGGCUCAGAAUGAACGCUGGCGGCGUGCUUUACACAUGCAAGUCGAGCGAGGCGUGUAGCAAUACACAGUCGAGCGGCGAACGGGUGAGUAACGCGUGGAUAACCUGCCCUGAGGUGGGGAAUAACCCGGGGAAACCCGGGCUAAUACCGCAUGACACCGAGAGGUCAAAGGGGGCGGCAACGCUCCUGCCACAGGAGGGGUCCGCGUCCGAUUAGCUAGUUGGCAGGGUAAUGGCCUACCAAGGCGACGAUCGGUAGCCGGCCUGAGAGGGUGAUCGGCCACACUGGAACUGAGACACGGUCCAGACUCCUACGGGAGGCAGCAGUGGGGAAUUUUGCGCAAUGGGCGGAAGCCUGACGCAGCAACGCCGCGUGGAGGAUGAAGGUCUUUGGAUCGUAAACUCCUGUCAGCAGGGAAAAAGCGACAUGACCUAAUACGUCGUGGAGUUGAUUGUACCUGCAGAGGAAGCCCCGGCUAACUCUGUGCCAGCAGCCGCGGUAAUACAGAGGGGGCAAGCGUUAUUCGGAAUUAUUGGGCGUAAAGGGCGCGUAGGCGGCCUGGCAAGCGACGGGUGAAAUCCCUCGGCUUAACCGAGGAGCUGCCUGUCGAACUGCCUGGCUUGAGGCCGGGAGAGGCGAGUGGAAUUCCCAGUGUAGCGGUGAAAUGCGUAGAUAUUGGGAGGAACACCAGUGGCGAAGGCGGCUCGCUGGACCGGUUCUGACGCUGAGGCGCGAAAGCGUGGGGAGCAAACAGGAUUAGAUACCCUGGUAGUCC